rnacentral:rRNA from 1 species
CGUAAAUAAUCUACCCUGAUGUCUGGGAUAACCAGCCGAAAGGCUGACUAAUACCGGCUAUAUGCUACCCUGUUGGGGGUAUCAGGAAAGGUGGCCUCUUCUUGAAAGCUAUCGCAUUGGGAUGAGUUUGCGUACCAUUAGCUAGUUGGUGGGGUAAUGGCCCACCAAGGCUUCGAUGGUUAGCGGGUCUGAGAGGAUGAUCCGUCACACUGGCACUGGAACACGGGCCAG